GUGGGGAAUAUUGGGCAAUGGGGGCAACCCUGACCCAGCGACGCCGCGUGAGGGAAGAAGGCCUUAGGGUCGUAAACCUCUGUUGUGUGGGAAGAAGAGCGUGACGGUACCACACGAGGAAGUCCCGGCUAACUACGUGCCAGCAGCCGCGGUAAUACGUAGGGGACGAGCGUUGUCCGGAUUUACUGGGCGUAAAGGGCGCGUAGGCGGUCAUUUAAGUCAGCUGUGAAAUGGUGCGGCUUAACCGCAUCAUGCGGUUGAAACUGGAUGACUGGAGUGCUGGAGAGGCAAGUGGAAUUCCCAGUGUAGCGGUGAAAUGCGUAGAUAUUGGGAAGAACACCGGUGGCGAAGGCGACUUGCUGGCCAGCAACUGACGCUGAGGCGCGAAAGCCAGGGGAGCAAACGGGAUUAGAAACCCUUGUAGUCC
rnacentral:rRNA from 1 species